rnacentral:rRNA from 1 species
ACGAACGCUGGCGGCGUGCCUAAUACAUGCAAGUCGAACGCUUCUUUUUCCACCGGAGCUUGCUCCACCGGAAAAAGAGGAGUGGCGAACGGGUGAGUAACACGUGGGUAACCUGCCCAUCAGAAGGGGAUAACACUUGGAAACAGGUGCUAAUACCGUAUAACAAUCGAAACCGCAUGGUUUUGAUUUGAAAGGCGCUUUCGGGUGUCGCUGAUGGAUGGACCCGCGGUGCAUUAGCUAGUUGGUGAGGUAACGGCUCACCAAGGCGACGAUGCAUAGCCGACCUGAGAGGGUGAUCGGCCACAUUGGGACUGAGACACGGCCCAAACUCCUACGGGAGGCAGCAGUAGGGAAUCUUCGGCAAUGGACGAAAGUCUGACCGAGCAACGCCGCGUGAGUGAAGAAGGUUUUCGGAUCGUAAAACUCUGUUGUUAGAGAAGAACAAGGAUGAGAGUAACUGUUCAUCCCUUGACGGUAUCUAACCAGAAAGCCACGGCUAACUACGUGCCAGCAGCCGCGGUAAUACGUAGGUGGCAAGCGUUGUCCGGAUUUAUUGGGCGUAAAGCGAGCGCAGGCGGUUUCUUAAGUCUGAUGUGAAAGCCCCCGGCUCAACCGGGGAGGGUCAUUGGAAACUGGGAGACUUGAGUGCAGAAGAGGAGAGUGGAAUUCCAUGUGUAGCGGUGAAAUGCGUAGAUAUAUGGAGGAACACCAGUGGCGAAGGCGGCUCUCUGGUCUGUAACUGACGCUGAGGCUCGAAAGCGUGGGGAGCAAACAGGAUUAGAUACCCUGGUAGUCCACGCCGUAAACGAUGAGUGCUAAGUGUUGGAGGGUUUCCGCCCUUCAGUGCUGCAGCUAACGCAUUAAGCACUCCGCCUGGGGAGUACGACCGCAAGGUUGAAACUCAAAGGAAUUGACGGGGGCCCGCACAAGCGGUGGAGCAUGUGGUUUAAUUCGAAGCAACGCGAAGAACCUUACCAGGUCUUGACAUCCUUUGACCACUCUAGAGAUAGAGCUUCCCCUUCGGGGGCAAAGUGACAGGUGGUGCAUGGUUGUCGUCAGCUCGUGUCGUGAGAUGUUGGGUUAAGUCCCGCAACGAGCGCAACCCUUAUUGUUAGUUGCCAUCAUUUAGUUGGGCACUCUAGCAAGACUGCCGGUGACAAACCGGAGGAAGGUGGGGAUGACGUCAAAUCAUCAUGCCCCUCAUGACCUGGGCUACACACGUGCUACAAUGGGAAGUACAACGAGUCGCAAAGUCGCGAGGCUAAGCUAAUCUCUUAAAGCUUCUCUCAGUUCGGAUUGUAGGCUGCAACUCGCCUACAUGAAGCCGGAAUCGCUAGUAAUCGCGGAUCAGCACGCCGCGGUGAAUACGUUCCCGGGCCUUGUACACACCGCCCGUCACACCACGAGAGUUUGUAACACCCGAAGUCGGUGAGGUAACCUUUUGGAGCCAGCCGCCUAAGGUGGGAUAGAUGAUUGGGGUG